AACAGGGAUUGCCUUAGUAGCGGCGAGUGAAGCGGCAAAAGCUCAAAUUUGAAAUCUGGCACCUUCGGUGUCCGAGUUGUAAUUUGAAGAUUGUAACCUUGGGGUUGGCUCUUGUCUAUGUUUCUUGGAACAGGACGUCACAGAGGGUGAGAAUCCCGUGCGAUGAGAUGCCCAAUCCUAUGUAAGGUGCUUUCGAAGAGUCGAGUUGUUUGGGAAUGCAGCUCUAAGCGGGCGGUAAAUUAUCUAAAGCUAAAUAUUGGGAGAGACCGAUAGCGAACAAGUACAGUGAUGGAAAGAUGAAAAGAACUUUGAAAAGAGAGUGAAAAAGUACGUGAAAUUGUUGAAAGGGAAGGGUUUGAGAUCAGACUCGAUAUUUUGUGAGCCUUGCCUCGUGGCGGGGUGACCCGCAGCUUAUCGGGCCAGCAUCGGUUUGGGCGGUAGGAUAAUGGCGUAGAAAUGUGACUUUGCUUCGGUGAAGUGUUAUAGCCUGCGUGUGAUGCUGCCUGCCUAGACCGAGGACUGCGAUUUAUCAAGGAUGCUGGCAUAUGAUCCCAAACCG
rnacentral:rRNA from 1 species